rnacentral:rRNA from 1 species
CCUACGGGUGGCUGCAGUGGGGAAUAUUGGACAAUGGGGGCAACCCUGAUCCAGCCAUGCCGCGUGUGUGAAGAAGGCCCUCGGGUCGUAAAGCACUUUCAGUGAGGAAGAACGCCUGGUGGUUAAUACCCAUCAGGAAAGACAUCUCUCACAGAAGAAGCACCGGCUAACUCCGUGCCAGCAGCCGCGGUAAUACGGAGGGUGCGAGCGUUAAUCGGAAUUACUGGGCGUAAAGCGCGCGUAGGUGGCUUGAUAAGCCGGGUGUGAAAGCCCCGGGCUCAACCUGUGAACGGCAUCCGGACCUGUCAAGCUAGAGUGCAGGGGAGGAAGGUAGAAUUCCCGGGGUAGCGGUGAAUUGCGUAGAGAUCGGGAGGAAUACCAGUGGCGAAGGGGGCCUUCUGGCCUGACACUGACACUGAGGUGCGAAAGCGUGGGUAGCAAACAGGAUUAGAUACCCGGGUAGUC